rnacentral:rRNA from 1 species
UCGGGAAUAUUGCGGCAAUGGAGGAAACUCUGACGCAGUGACGCCGCGUGCAGGAAGAAGGUUUUCGGAUUGUAAACUGCUUUAGACAGGGACGAAACAAAUGACAGUACCUAAGGAGGAAGCUCCGGCUAACUACGUGCCAGCAGCCGCGGUAAUACGUAGGGAGCGAGCGUUAUCCGGAAUUAUUGGGUGUAAAGGGUGCGUAGACGGGAAGAUAAGUUAGUUGUGAAAUCCCUCGGCUUAACUGAGGAACUGCAACUAAAACUGUUUUCUUGAGUGCAGGAGAGGUAAGUGGAAUUCCUAGUGUAGCGGUGAAAUGCGUAGAUAUUAGGAGGAACACCAGUGGCGAAGGCGACUUACUGGACUGUAACUGACGUUGAGGCACGAAAGUGUGGGGAGCAAACAGGAUUAGAUACCCUGGUAGU